rnacentral:snRNA from 1 species
CGGGAUUGGGAUCCGUUAACAAACUCAUCUCUUGCCUUUUACCAGAAAUGACUGUGGCGUGACCCAAACAAAUCCCUUCCCAUAAUCUUUGGACCAUAUUGU